GCCUGGGUGGCUCAGUCGGUUGAGCAUCUGACUUCGGCUCAGGUCAUGAUCUCGCGGUUUGUGAGUUCAAGCCCCGCAUCGGGCU
rnacentral:tRNA from 1 species